AUGCCGGUGAGUUACACGGCUCUGAGAAACUCUGACUGGGAUUUCAUAGUUGAUAAAUAUCUCCUUAGAUUCGAUGCCUGGGUUGGUAAUGCUGCUUCUAUGGGAGGGAGACACACCCUUCUAGACUCGAUAGUUACUCAACUCUCUCUAUACCACAUGUCUAUGUGGCUGAUGAACAAAUCUUUUGUGGAAAAAUUGGAUAAAUACAGAAGGAGAUUCUUCUGGCAGGGGUGUAGUAAGAAACGGAGAUAUCACUUGAUCAGAUGGAACAGGAUCUGUAGAUCCAAAGAAAAAGGGGGGCUUGGUAUUAAAGACUUGCGCAAGAAAAACAUUAGUCUGAUGCUCAAGUGGUGGUGGAAGCUAGACACCCAGAAAGGAAUUUGGCAAGAUAUUGUUUGGGCUAGGUAUCUCCGCAACCAAACUGUUGCAACUGUUAGCCCUCGUUUCUCUGAUUCACCUUGUUGGAAAAACUUGUUGAAAAUCAAAAACAUGUACAUGAUAGGCAGGAAGCUUCACGUGGGGACAGGCAACCUAACCAGGUUGUGGAAAGACUCUAUUAAUGGGUUAACUCCUUUCCAAGAACAAUUCCCAGGCCUCUUUGAUAUUUGUGUUGAUCAAGAUUGUACCCUGGAUAGGCUUAGCUCCAUAACCUGUUCUAGCUUUUUCCGCAGAAGAUUGAACGCUGAUUUGACAGACCAG
rnacentral:rRNA from 1 species